rnacentral:rRNA from 1 species
UACGUAGGGUGCAAGCGUUGUCCGGAAUUAUUGGGCGUAAAGAGCUCGUAGGCGGUUUGUCGCGUCGGCUGUGAAAGCCCGGAGCUCAACUCCGGGUCUGCAGUCGAUACGGGCAGACUUGAGUGUUGCAGGGGAGACUGGAAUUCCUGGUGUAGCGGUGAAAUGCGCAGAUAUCAAGGAGGAACACCGGUGGCGAAGGCGG